GGCAGACUGGGAGUCGUCCAUCUCACAGGGCUCUGAAGCUGGCAGGAACUUGAAAGUCGUGCCCAAGCCCCCAACGUUGGUCAGCGUGAUGGUCCGAGACGUGGUCUCUCCUACCACGUAGCUGCCGAAGUCAAUGAGCUCCUUGUCGAGGGACAGCUGCCAGAGGACAUGGAGUGAACUCAGGGCCACCGUGCCAGGCCCACAGGGUGCCCAGCGUGAGGCCUGCACGUGGCUCCAGGCAGGGCUGCCCUGAGCAUUUGUGCGCGUUGUGCACUGCACAAGCAGGUACACGAUUCAACCCAGAAAUCAGGUGUGUAUUGCUCAUGACAAGGUGUGGCACGCGAGUCUGGUUUUAAGAACAUCAAGGCAGGAGCCCCCUCGCCACGGAGUAACAAGGGUUCAGUGAGAGGACGCAGGGCCCGGAUGCAGGGCCUAAACAAGGAGCCUGGACACGGGGCUUUGGAGGUCCUGAGGAUGGAUGGUGUCAUUCCUGGGUGAGGUCAGCUGGACUCUGGAUACAGGGACCCAGGGAGCAUCCUUCCAGAACGGGAGCACGCCCUCCAUGGGGGUGCCUCACCAUGCCCGCUGUGGGCCACAGGCCACAGAAGCUCUGGUGCUGGCUAAGGAUGCAGGCCCGGGCCAUACCUCGGCUCUGCCCAAUGGCCCCUCCUCGGGAGGCUUUUCUGGGCUCUGAGUUUGGAGGCCCAGGGGCUCCCCACUCUGUGCUCCUGCUCCAGGGGCAGGACCAGGGGCCACCGACGCAAAUGGACGUGGUUCGCAGAGGGCGGUCGGGGUCCAGCCAAGGGAGGCCGCCUCCUUCCCGCCUGCACCGCCUGGGUCCUGUUCUCCCCUUGUUCAGAUGGGGUUUUACUGUUUUUACAGUCCCCAGCCUGGACGCUCCCCUGGGAGAAGCAAGCCCCUGCUCAGGGGAGCCGAGGGUCUCGGUGCUCCUGUCACAGAGGAGCACUUGACACUGCAAAGACCAAAUGCGGGAGAGGCCGGGGCAGCUCUGGCCAGGACACCUGGGGCCUCGCCGGGCACGUGCUCCAUGAUGCUGAUCCGGAGUGGAGCAGGCCAGUACCAGACUCCUGCCGGGCUCCCAGGCUGAGCAGGAGGGAGCCGGAGCCUGGCUGUCUGCGGGGGGGCGGGGGACUUCCUGCUGCCCCUGGCCCUGGUGCUCGGUGUCCUGGGCCUGAGUCUUGGCUCACCAAGAGCCCGCACAGCCGAGUGCCGGCCCAACCGUGACCGCUCUGAGGAGAAGGCGGCAGCCACAGGGCAAGGAGCUGCUCGGGUGCCCUAGGACGGCAGUGGUCCCUGCAUGAACCCAAGCGGGGCCACUUGAGUGCCAAGAGGAAGGGAGACUAAAGUGACUGGAACACACCAAAUACUCAAACACUGGUGAGCCUAUGAAGAAACUGAGAGGAAAACACUUCUCUCUCUGCCACCAUCGGUGACUCUCAUCCCAACCCCUCUCCACGGCGACACGCGGUGAAGGAGGAAGCACGCGACAGAGAAAGUUACACAGGUGCUCAUCAAAGGUGGCUUGGGGCCAGCGUGGCCUGGAUCACGGGUGACCAUGAGGGCGUCUGCUGAUCUUCCUGGGGUGGGGGACAUAGCGCGCCUCUGCCCUUCGCCUGCCCCGGCUUGUUCCUCCUCUAGUGUAAGAAUGGGCCUCUUCCUGCCCCGCUGACGCAGGCUCAGGCUGUGAGACUUGCCUUGACCUGAGAAUUCUUAGGAGAUAAUGACGUCCCCACUGUCCUCUGGGAGAUGCUCGUGCUGCCGUAGCUGCCACUCUGGAGUCCAGCCUGGACGGGGCUGGCCGCAGAGGGCUUCACACUCGCGGCUGAGCCAGGAGCCGUUUGCUGUGUGGCAGCACUGGUCCGAGUGCCCCACGUUCGAGACCCCACCUAAGGUUCGGCUCAGGCCCACCUGAGCUGCUGUUGGAAGAAGGGGCUCAGCCCCUGGUGAAGAUUGGAGCUUCCACCUGGUCCCCCCGCCAACCUGCACCCCCUCCCAGGAGAUGCCGUCCCCCACUGGGGUUCCCAGCCAGCAUGCCCCGAGAAAUGCUGGCUCGGACACCUUUGAACUCACCGAACAUUUCUUUGUUGAACAUUUCAGUGGAACUGAAAACUCGCCCGUCUGAGCCAAAAAUGAGAUAUUUCCUUCUAGAUCCUUGUUUAUCUAAAACAUAAAACAACCCCCACCACAAUACACUUCUGC
rnacentral:lncRNA from 1 species